rnacentral:rRNA from 1 species
CGAACACAGCAGUUAAGCCCUUCAGCGCCGAUGGUACUUGGUGAGAGAUCGCCUGGGAGAGUAGGUCGUUGCGAUAC